AUGACAGGUGUGACAACACCCAACAGGAACCAUAGCCUUUUACUUUGAAAACCAUGGAAGGCAUCAGCUGCCAUUGCAAGGGAGCAGAGUACAGAAGCUGCUACAAUAGACAUGCCAAUCCAUGGCAUUGGGGUCUCCAAUUUGUUUUGUAUAUAAUCGAUUUCAUCAUAAACAUAGUCACAGGCAUCCCUGCAUUCAUUCAAUCUGUCACAUAGCGCGCUGCAUUGAAUUGAAUCCAUUAACUUGUCUCUGAAAUUCAUUCUAUUUCUCUCCCAAAAACUUUUAAUCUUGUGAUUCACAAACAUACCAAUCAAUCUGUCCUAGUCAUUCACAUCGAAUGGUGCACAAGGAAAUAUAAGUCUUGUUUCUCUCCUAUU
rnacentral:lncRNA from 1 species